CCUACGGGUGGCAGCAGUGGGGGAUAUUGCACAAUGGGGGGAACCCUGAUGCAGCGACGCCGCGUGGGUGAAGAAGCGCCUCGGCGCGUAAAGCCCUGUCAGCAGGGAAGAAAAUGACGGUACCUGACGAAGAAGCACCGGCUAACUACGUGCCAGCAGCCGCGGUAAUACGGAGGGGGCAAGCGUUAUCCGGAUUUACUGGGUGUAAAGGGGGCGCAGGCGGGGAUGCAAGCCAGGAGUGAAAGCCCGGGGCCCAACUCCGGGACUGCACUUGGAACUGCGUGGCUGGAGUGCAGGAGGGGCAGGUGGAAUUCCUGGUGUAGCGGUGAAAUGCGUAGAUAUCAGGAGGAACACUGAUGGCGAAGGCGGCCUGCUGGACUGCAACUGACGUUCAUGCCCGAAAGCGUGGGGAGCAAACAGGAUUAGAUACCCUAGUAGUC
rnacentral:rRNA from 1 species